rnacentral:rRNA from 1 species
CCUACGGGUGGCUGCAGUCGAGAAUCAUUCACAAUGGGGGAAACCCUGAUGGUGCGACGCCGCGUGGGGGAAUGAAGGUCUUCGGAUUGUAAACUCCUGUCAUGUGGGAGCAAAUUAAAAAGAUAGUACUACAAGAGGAAGAGACGGCUAACGCUGUGCCAGCAGCCGCGGUAAUACAGAGGUCUCAAGCGUGGUUCGGAAUCAUUGGGCGUAAAGGGUGCGUAGGCUGUUUAGUAAGUCGUGUGUGAAAGGCGCGGGCUCAACCCGCGGACGGCACAUGAUACUGCGAGACUAGAGUAAUGGAGGGGGAACCGGAAUUCUCGGUGUAGCAGUGAAAUGCGUAGAUAUCGAGAGGAACACUCGUGGCGAAGGCGGGUUCCUGGACAUUAACUGACGCUGAGGCACGAAGGCCAGGGGAGCGAAAGGGAUUAGAUACCCGGGUAGUC